CCGCCAUGGGCGGCAGCUACACAUGCAGUCGAGCGGUAACAGGAGAAAGCUUGCUUUCUUGCUGACGAGCGGCGGACGGGUGAGUAAUGUAUGGGGAUCUGCCCGAUAGAGGGGGAUAACUACUGGAAACGGUGGCUAAUACCGCAUGACGUCUACGGACCAAAGCAGGGGCUCUUCGGACCUUGCGCUAUCGGAUGAACCCAUAUGGGAUUAGCUAGUAGGUGAGGUAAUGGCUCACCUAGGCGACGAUCUCUAGCUGGUCUGAGAGGAUGAUCAGCCACACUGGGACUGAGACACGGCCCAGACUCCUACGGGAGGCAGCAGUGGGGAAUAUUGCACAAUGGGCGCAAGCCUGAUGCAGCCAUGCCGCGUGUAUGAAGAAGGCCUUAGGGUUGUAAAGUACUUUCAGCGGGGAGGAAGGUGUUAAGAUUAAUACUCUUAGCAAUUGACGUUACCCGCAGAAGAAGCACCGGCUAACUCUGUGCAGCAGCCGCAA
rnacentral:rRNA from 1 species